UACGUAGGGUGCGAGCGUUAAUCGGAAUUACUGGGCGUAAAGCGUGCGCAGGCGGCGCGUUAAGACAGGUGUGAAAGCCCCGAGCUUAACUUGGGAAUUGCGCUUGUGACUGGCGUGCUGGAGUGUGGCAGAGGGAGGCGGAAUUCCACGUGUAGCAGUGAAAUGCGUAGAGAUGUGGAGGAACACCGAUGGCGAAGGCAGCCUCCUGGGCCAGCACUGACGCUCAUGCACGAAAGCGUGGGGAGCAAACAGG
rnacentral:rRNA from 1 species